CCGCAACGAGCGCAACCCUUAUCCUUUGUUGCCAGCGAUUAGGUCGGGAACUCAAAGGAGACUGCCAGUGAUAAACUGGAGGAAGGUGGGGAUGACGUCAAGUCAUCAUGGCCCUUACGACCAGGGCUACACACGUGCUACAAUGGCGCAUACAAAGAGAAGCGACCUCGCGAGAGCAAGCGGACCUCAUAAAGUGCGUCGUAGUCCGGAUUGGAGUCUGCAACUCGACUCCAUGAAGUCGGAAUCGCUAGUAAUCGUGGAUCAGAAUGCCACGGUGAAUACGUUCCCGGGCCUUGUACACACCGCCCGUCACACCAUGGGAGUGGGUUGCAAAAGAAGUAGGUAGCUUAACCUUCGGGAGGGCGCUUACCACUUUGUGAUUCAUGACUGGGGUGAAGUCGUAACAAGGUAACCGUAGGGGAACCUGC
rnacentral:rRNA from 1 species